rnacentral:rRNA from 1 species
UACGUAGGGUCCGAGCGUUGUCCGGAAUUACUGGGCGUAAAGAGCUCGUAGGCGGCUUGUUGCGUCAGCUGUGAAAACCCGCAGCUCAACUGUGGGCUUGCGGUCGAUACGGGCAUCACUGGAGUUCGGCAGGGGAGACUGGAAUUCCUGGUGUAGCGGUGAAAUGCGCAGAUAUCAGGAGGAACACCGGUGGCGAAGGCGGGUUC